ensembl:lncRNA
GAUUAGAAGGUAUUGGAUUCAAAUCCCACCUGCAUUGUCUAACAUUGAGGCCUGUAUCAGGCACCGCUGGUGCUCCACCUCACAGCCUCUCUUCUCUAAGGGGGGGGGGCCUCUUUGACAUCUGAGCAUUGUGUACCUGUUGGAAUUGGCUCCCAGGAAUGUGCAACCUGGAGGGUCUCAGGGCUUAACACCUCACUGGGCAACCUUUGACCAAUGGGGGAUGGUCUCUCAUGGGGACAUGGGCUGUUCCACAGCGUGGUCUUGUUCCCUGGAGCCUCAUUCUCAUCAUCUGUAUUCAGCUGGCAGAAGACGAGAGUUUGGAGAAGGCUCUCUGCCCACAGAUGACACUCAAUACCAAAGUUUAUAUUCCACUGACAAGAAUUAGUCACGUGGCUCCCCCUAGAAGAAGGAGGUUAUCAGCCUCCAGGCACAGCUGUGAGCCUCAAAAGCAGAGAACAUGUCUGAUUCAUCUUUCACGGGCCCAGGAGAGCAUCUGUCUCAUUUAGCACCCAACACCCAAAAAUGUUGGACUUCAUUGGAAUUCAAAAUCCUGGCACCACAGAAGAAUCUGGAACAAGGAAAUAAAAUCCACUCAUUCUCUUGUUGUGUUUCUCGUUACACAAGAUCUUUACUUCUCAAGAGUUAUUUUACCAUGGACAUAUGUAGUCUAUUUCAUAAAGUACAAAAAAGAAAAAAG